UACGGGGGGAGCAAGCGUUGUUCGGAUUUACUGGGCGUAAAGGGCGCGUAGGCGGCCACUGCAAGUCAGUUGUGAAAUCUCCGGGCUUAACCCGGAAAGGUCAACUGAUACUGCAGGGCUAGAGUGCAGAAGGGGCAACUGGAAUUCUCGGUGUAGCGGUGAAAUGCGUAGAUAUCCCGAGGAACACCGGUGGCGAAGGCGGCUUCCUGGACCGAUUACUGACGCUGAGGCGCGAAAGCUAGGGGAGCAAACGGG
rnacentral:rRNA from 1 species